rnacentral:rRNA from 1 species
CAGGCUAAUACCGCAUACGCUCGCGAGAGGAAAGCGGGGGAUCUUCGGACCUCGCGCUGGUGGACAAGCCUACGUCCGAUUAGCUAGUUGGUGGGGUAAAAGCCUACCAAGGCGACGAUCGGUAGCUGGUCUGAGAGGAUGAUCAGCCACACUGGGACUGAGACACGGCCCAGACUCCUACGGGAGGCAGCAGUGGGGAAUAUUGGACAAUGGGCGCAAGCCUGAUCCAGCAAUGCCGCGUGGGUGAAGAAGGCCUGCGGGUUGUAAAGCCCUUUAAGCGGGGAGGAAAGCCGGGGUGCAAAUAGCGCCUCGGGGUGACGUUACCCGCAGAAUAAGCACCGGCUAACUCCGUGCCAGCAGCCCGCGGUAAUACGGGGGGUGCGAGCGUUAAUCGGAAUGACUGGGCGUAAAGCGUGCGUAGGCGGUGUAAUCAGUCAGCCGUGAAAGCC